CUAUAUAUAACAGAUUUGUAUAACAGAUUUUCGCAUCACAGGAAUAAAAUGUAUUUCCAUUAAAAAAACACCUCGCUUAGGGGACCGGAGUCAUUUCCAUGAUUAAAGCCUGACUUUAUUUUUUCAAAGCGUGCUCAGACUCGGGACCUGCAGCCUGACCUGCACCUGUUAAAUCAGACACACCAAAAGGCUGUUAAUGGUAAUGCGCUGGUCACAUUUCACGACAGGUCCCAAGGACACGACGCCUCUGCCCCGAUCAUCACGUUCGUGAUCGGCGGCCAGAAUGUGUACUUCGUGGCAUUUGUGACUUGUCAUCAUUAUGUGUGAAAUUGUGAAUGACUCCAUUAAAUCUGUUUUUGUUCCUUUGGUCACUCCCAGUUACUUAGAUACCUGUGGCAAUUCUAGAGAUAAUACCUGCUGAGAAGCGCUGACCCUCGAGGUCUUUGCGCAAAGGUUCAAAAGUCCUAACACCUUGUUGUCUUUUGUUACCAAAUGAUCAUGAUCACAUGAUCUUUGCCUUUAAUCACAAAAGACAGAAAUGCUUUAUGUUUGUCCCCCCACCCACCCACAGAUGACAGCAUCAUUCUGACCACAGCAGCACCAAGAGCAACAACCAACUUAACUUUACUCCUUCAAGAAAUCUUCAGCAGCAUCACAUCUGAUUUAAAAUGGCUCUUUCCUGCCUCAUUCCUCAUUUGAUUCUCCACUUUGUCCUGGCCUUUUAUUGCAGACAUCCUGCUUCAAGUCAUGCGACCUGAUGUCCACAAGGAUGAACGUGUCCCUCAGGUGUGAUGACAGAAGUGAGCCUCAGGAGGUGAAGAAAUUCAGCCACCAAAAAGAGCUGACUGAUGAGCAGAAAGCUGAGAAAUUCCAGAGUAUGUUGGUAGUAGAUGAGAUGGAGAGUCUGAGAGAAGAUCUUGCCAAUGAAGCUGGCUUUCUUCAAGAAGAUGACCACAUCUGAGGAGCUGGCAGCCCAGGAGGCUGUUUACCAAAAGAAGCUGAAAGUCCAGGAGACUUUUUACAAAAGAAGGCUGGCAGCCAGCGAGCAGGACCAUCAAGAGGAGCUGGAAGGCCAGAAUGAACUGUACAAAAGAGAAAUUAAAGAAAAGGAGGAGGGCUUUGAGAAGGGGGGACAGUUCUGUGGCUGUGGGAUCACUGGCAUAGGCGUGUUUGCUGCUGGAUUUUUAACAGCAGCCUAUUUUUUAAUGUUAAUUUCUAUUAACUUGCUCCAUGUUUUAUUGUCAGGCUGUGAUGCUACAUACUCCUGUUGAUAUUUCUUGUAUGAUAAAUGUUCAAAAAUAAAAAUUUAAACCAUU